CCUAGAUCUCGAUACCCCAAUGCUUGUGAGCCAUUUUUAAGUUAACCUUAUGUGAUUUGAAGCUUGUAUUCAAGAGGAGAUUGUAGAUCCACAAGCAACGUCUUAUCAUCAUCCUUUUCUGGUAAUAAAGCCUCUAGUCUCUUAGAUCUCCUUAUGUUCACUAAUGAGGGUUUUGGUCCAUUAGCUAGACUGAAGGUGGACACGUGUUUUUCUAUCUUCUCUUCACCGCUAUCAUUUGGAUCAGUGUCUUCUCCACCGUUUUACCAAGACAUCAGAUAUACUCAACAAACAUCAUCGUCUUCCAUCCUUCCAGAACUCUCUCUAUCCCUCUCGCCAUUAUUGUUUUCUUCCACAAGAUUUUUUGCUUUUUCGACCACUCUGCUUCAUCUUUCCACUUCUUCUGAGUCGUCAUUGGGUUUUGGCGAAAUGAUGGUCGACCGGUGGAUAGUAGGGUUUUUCGGGUGGGUGCUUGGCUUGCAAUUUUGGGUCGGCUGACUUGCUGGUUCAAAUACUGGUACCAGAAGUUUACCCAAGUUGAAACGUGCAUCAUCAACAUCAUGCUUCUCCUCCUGCCUUCAUUUAUAUUAAAUAUCACCAUCGUCUAUCGCUAUCAACGCCACCGCCACCAGACCUCUUUCCCUUGCUCCACAUCCAGGGAUGUCUUCUUCCGACACCUUUUUGCUAUUAUCGCCUAUUAUCAACUUCCAGAUGUCGGAAUAUAAGCAGGUCCAAACCAGACUUCGUCAACGACUCCGACACUUAUGACUCAAUCAUGUUCUGAUUUUAGCUUAUCCACUGACGGUAGAUGUGGGAGGCCACCGGUCGAUUGGGGAUGAACAAUGGUGGCAGGCUGAGAUAAGUUCUCUAUUGAAAGAAAUUAAGCCUCUGAAUCACGAAAUUGAGGAGUUGUAACGUGUAAUAGUGUGCCACGAAGUGAAGUUACUGCCGGUCCUUGAGCCCAAUAAAACUGAAGUGAUAAAACUUGUCUCCUCACAAUAUAUGGUUCUUCAACUUUAGAUUUUUUCACCAACGAUGGCAUACACGGUAUUGUUAAACUUUUAUGGGUAGAAGGGAUUAUUCUAGGGUGUUUCUACUUCAUCCCUAUCAUAAUCUACUUCAUUGUUUGAUCUCCUUCUUCCUUUGUAUGUGUUUGUAUGCUUUCUUCGAAUAGCCUUGUAUGAAUAUGUAUAUGUAUCUUCUUUUUCAACCAAUAUGGUUCUUUAUCUAUUCAUUAUGAACUCAUAAAAUCUAUUCAUUGAUUUUUUUUUAGCUUUUGACAGUUGUUGAUGCUCCUUGUGAUAGAGUAAAGGAAGUUAUAUGAAUCAGAGAUGGAGUUCAAUUAGGUUCCAUACGAAAUUUUGGUAUCAAGAUUGACAUAUUGCAGUGCAUUGAUGUUGAAUCCAUCUAAGUUUAUCAUCUAAUUCAUUCACUUUUGGCUCAUUCUGAUUUACUUUUUUUCUUCAAUAAAGGUAACAUCUCUAUAAUACCAUACCCCCAACAGAAACUAACUGUCAUGAAAAAAAAGUAAUAAUUGAUCUAAAAUAAGUUUUAUAUUAAAGUAUAAGAUGAGUUAUAUGAUACAGUGCAAAGCAUUUCAAAAGUUUAAAUUAACACUAAACUGCCUUUUGAUAUACACAUACAAGUCAAUUCCUUGAACUUUUCACUUAUUUGACAAUAUUACCCCUCAUUAUUCCAGGCCUCACCCGAAUUACAUCCUUCAAAAUGUUUAUGGUGGCUUUUCAGCAAAUCCGUAUGGGGAUCAAAUUAGAUCUAAUUUUUUUGUUUUUUUUCAUUAAUUUGAUUUAAUUUAAAAAAUGUUUAUCAUGUAAACAACUAAUGAUAUAUGGAAGGAGGCCAGUCCCAGGGGGUAUGUAGAUGAUUCCAAAGGUUUUAACAAUGGUCAAAUAUGAUAUGUUUUGUAAGUUGCACUUUUCUGUAAACUCAUUUUGGUCAUUUACUUUGUUAAUUAGAUUUAUCAUCUAUGUUGUGGGAUUUCUGCAAGAAAUGGCCUGGAGCACAGAUGCCAACUGUUAGGCCGCCCCGAAGAAACCAACGCAACAGCAGCAAUAAUGGCUCAAACAGAGCAUGGUGGUAGAGCACUAUCGGCCAAUAUUAAGUGGUGGUGGUGGUGGCACUGUGUGAACUUCUAUAGAUGGGAUAGAUUUUCCAUGAAGGUUGGACACCUCCACCCUACCCCCACCUUAUUUAUAAAGAUAAAACAGAAAAAAAUGAAAUGAUUAAUGUAGAAGGGUGUUGGGGAGGUGUUUAAAUUCCUACAAGAAAGAUUUCACAGAAGUUUAUUGGUUAUUACAUUUCUAUUGCUUUGCAUUUAGAUCAAUGGAGUCUUGCAAGGAGUAGGAGAGCUUAAAGAAAAUGUGCCCAUGUUACCUAAUUCGUAAGACCUAAGUUGGUAUUUUUAACGGUUGCAACCUAUUUUUUGCAAGUGUUGUAUUUUAUAAAAAUAUUUACUAAUUACAUAAUUCCAUUUAUAAUUUGUAUUCGUAUAA